GGGCGCGUGACCUGAGUGGCCGAUAGGACCGGACUCUUAAUCCGGCGGCGAAAGCCCACCGCAGGUUCGAAUCCUGCCGCGCCCU
rnacentral:tRNA from 1 species